rnacentral:rRNA from 1 species
GCAGCCGCGGUAAUACGGAAGGUCCAGGCGUUAUCCGGAUUUAUUGGGUUUAAAGGGAGCGUAGGCGGGAUGAUAAGUCAGCUGUGAAAGUUUGCGGCUCAACCGUAAAAUUGCAGUUGAAACUGUCGUUCUUGAGUGUGCACAGGGAUGUUGGAAUUCGUGGUGUAGCGGUGAAAUGCUUAGAUAUCACGAAGAACUCCGAUCGCGAAGGCAGAUGUCCGGAGCACAACUGACGCUGAGGCUCGAAAGUGUGGGUAUCAAACAGGAUUAGAUACCCC